rnacentral:rRNA from 1 species
GAUGAACGCUAGCGGCAGGCUUAAUACAUGCAAGUCGAGGGGUAGCAAGAUUGUAGCAAUACAAUUGUUGACGACCGGCAAACGGGUGCGGAACACGUACACAACCUUCCUACAAGUGGGGAAUAGCCCAGAGAAAUUUGGAUUAAUACCCCGUAACAUAGCGAUGUGGCAUCACAUUGCUAUUAUAGCUUCGGCGCUUGUUGAUGGGUGUGCGGCUGAUUAGAUAGUUGGCGGGGUAACGGCCCACCAAGUCUACGAUCAGUAGCUGAUGUGAGAGCAUGAUCAGCCACACGGGCACAGGGACACGGGCCCGACUCCUACGGGAGGCAGUAGUAAGGAAUAUUGGACAAUGGACGCAAGUCUGAUCCAGCCAUGCCGCGUGAAGGAUUAAGGUCCUCUGGAUUGUAAACUUCUUUUAUAAGGGACGAAAAAAGGUCUUUCUAGAUCGUCUGACGGUACCUUAUGAAUAAGCACCGGCUAACUCCGUGCCAGCCGCCGCCGCCGUAA